rnacentral:rRNA from 1 species
UCUAACAUGUGCGCGAGUCAUUGGGUUGACACUAAACCUAAAGGCGCAAUGAAAGUGAAGGUCCCGCCUCGUGCGGACCGAGGGAAGAUGGGCCGCGCUGCUGUGCGGCUCCGCAUUCCCGGGGCGUCUCGUUCUCAUUGCGAGUUGAGGCGCACCCAGAGCGUACACGUUGGGACCCGAAAGAUGGUGAACUAUGCCUGGCCAGGACGAAGUCAGGGGAAACCCUGAUGGAGGUCCGUAGCGAUUCUGACGUGCAAAUCGAUCGUCGGAGCUGGGUAUAGGGGCGAAAGACUAAUCGAACCAUCUAGUAGCUGGUUCCCUCCGAAGUUUCCCUCAGGAUAGCUGGUGCUCGAACGAGUCUCAUCCGGUCAAGCGAAUGAUUAGAGGCCUUGGGGCCGAAACGACCUCAACCUAUUCUCAAACUUUAAAUGGGUGAGAUCUCCGGC